UUUUUUAAGUAGGAGUUAAAGCCCAUAAUCGGUUUACGUCUGAUUUUCUUAGUGAAGCCCCUCUACAGCCAGAGGGGAGGUUUGCAGCGCAUGGGACCCGCGUGCUGUGACCAGGCACCCUGGCCCAGAGGCGAGGCCCGGUGCCCACCCCUGACCCCUGCUGCCAGCUGGGCCUGGGCGGCCCCUUCCUCUCCCCUGGAAUGCAGUUCCUCAUCUAUAAAAGCAAGUGCUUGAGCCUCAUGGCUAAGUACUGUUGAUUCUGAAGCGUUAUUACGCCAGUGCAUUUGUAGUUAUAGGAUGUUGGUCCACGUUCCCUUGUAGAAUGGUUAAAAUUCCUACAGGAGGUGAAGACCGCAGCCCCCGAGUUGAUAAUGUGCUUCGCGUCAGGUGUUGUUUUGUUUCUUCUGCAUCUUUACCUUCACCUUCUCUUCACGAGCGUCUGCAGACACUGUUUUAUGUGAGUGAACCAGCUGUAAGGUUUUUUAUUCCUUCUACAUGAUAACUCAGUUUUGACAUAAAGGGGAGCGAAUGCCCUCCGCACGUGUUAUAGUCCAGGGUGGAGUGUGGGUUGCGGCCCAUGUGAGACCCCCGUCGUUACAUGGCUUUCCACAGUGGGCUCCAGCUCCACAGGUGCACUUGUUACUUUGAUAGGUUCACAGGAAGUUCUAAGCACGUUCCAAGAGGUCCCCUGUAUACCUCACCCGCUUCCCCCUACUAGUUACAGCUUACAUGACUGUAGGACAGUAUCAAAGCGAGGAAACUGACGUUGGCACGAGGUGUGUGUCCUUCUUUGUCACGUUACCGCACAUGUAGAUCUGUGUGGUCACCACCUCCCCCAAGACACAUGGCUCUCACCCCACCACCCAGCUCUCCCCUGCGCUCGUCACACCUAACCGCCCCCCGCCCCGAAACCCCUGGCAGCCACGAAUCUGUUCUCUGUCUCUGUGACUUAGUCAUUUUGAGAUGUGACAUAAAUGGGAGUUUGGCUUUUCCAGCUCGGCAUCAUGCCUUCCAUCCAGGCUGUGUGGGGCAGUAGUUCGUUCCUUUUUAUUGCUGAGUAAUCAGUAUCCCACUGUGUGGGUUCCACCUGUGUUUCCUGAAGGACACAGUGGCUCAGCCCAGUGUUUGGCUCCUACAGAUAGAGCUGCUUUGAACAGUCACGCGCAGGCUUAGAGUAGACGUAAUCUGCCUUUCUCUGGGAUAAAUGCCCAGGAGUGCAGUUGAUCAGUUGCAUCAUCAGGGUAAGUUUAGCUUAAGAAGCUGCUAACUCAUCUCCCACGGGGGCUGUGCCGUUUUCCAUUCCCAGCCCCAGGGCAGGGGAGACCCGGCUUCUCCGCAUCCUCGCCGGCACCUGGUGGUGUGGCUGCUUUCUAUCUUGGCUACUCUUCUAGGAUUAGACAAAGCUGCUCUAAACUGUUACAAGCCGUGUGACCUGUCUUCCCAUUCAGAGUUGUCCAUUUAAUUAACAGCUUUCUGCUGUGAAACUCCGGGUGCUGUUAUUGCUGCCUUGAAGUAGGUCUCUGCCGAAAUCUAGCUGUGCUUUAUUAUGAAGCUGCCCCAGAUUAACACGGGGUCCUCGGCUCUGUGGAGGCCUUGCAUUGUGUGUGCUGUUGAAGUGGAUGGAAAAUCCCACCAGAAUUUCCCGGAGGCCCUUGCGGCUUCAUGGCCUCUGACGAGGGUGUAACCCCCUCCAGCAGCCUUGGUGAGACAGUGGCUGGGAAGAUCCCACAUGCUGCAGAGCACCUGAGCCCGUGUGCCACAACUACUAGCCCCCGUGCCACAACUACUGAAGCCCACGCGCCUAGAGCCCGUGCUCCGCAACAAGAGAAGCCACCGCAACAAGAAGCCCGCGCACCGCAACAAAGAGCAGCCCCCGCUCGCUAUAACUAGAGAAAGCCCGCGUGCAGCAACCAAGACCCAACGCAGCCAUAAAUCAAUAA